rnacentral:lncRNA from 1 species
ACUGGGUGGUUCGAGCCCUGAAUGCUGAUUGGCUGACAGCCGUGGUAUACCACGGGUAUGACAAAACAUUUAUUUUUACUGCUCUAAUUCAGUUGGUAACCAGUUUAUAACAGCAAUAAGGCACCUCAGGGGUUUGUGGUAUAUGGCCAAUAUACCACGGCUAAGGGCCGUGUUGCGUCGUGCCUAAGAACAGCCCAUAGCCGUGGUAUAUUGGCCUUAUACCACAACCCCUCGUGCCGUAUUGCUCAAGUAAAGGUUUGUCAGUCACUGGGCCUGGGUAAUACUCUGAGAAUGCAUCCAUCCUUCCUCCCCCUCGGGCCUUAUUGCUCAAGUAAAGGUUUGUCAGUCACUGGGCCUGGGUAAUACUCUGAGAAUGCAUCCUUCCUCCCCCUUGGAGUAAAUGAUGUUCUGACAUAACUGUCUUUCUAAAGCUACUUUUUUUUUGUAUACAAAAUUGCGUAUAAUUCCUGAGAAAUGUGGUUUGACGAAUGGAGUUUAGCGAUGUCACUCUGAGCUAUUAUCACCCAGUUGUCAGAUAAGUGAAUAUUUCAAGGGUGGGUAGAAGGGAGGGUAGAAGGGUGCAUUUUAUUAGUAUUCAACCAUAGCCAUCAUCUCAACACAAAUAUUUCUCUCAUGUCAAAAUCAGACACUGACACUCCUCCCCAGGUAGCAUGGACCAGACUCCCUGGCUGUAUAGAAUAUGGCAUAUUGUUUCUGGAAUGAAGAUGCCAUUUUGCCAAAACAAUCCCUCUCGAAAAGGAGACUUGUGUGUUUUGUUUGUUUUUUUCACUCUGAAUGAAUAAAACUUGAUUAAAAUGUUUUGUAUUUCCUCUUCAAUUGUCUUGUAGACUGUGUGUAUGUCUCAUUAGAAAUCCCUUGUGUUGAGGUUAAAAGGUACCAAGGCCUUCGUUAUGUGUUCUUAUUCAUUCUCUGUAACUCCCCUUGUGAUUCAAGGGUUCAUCGUUGAAAAGGUUGAUCGGUCUGGAAUGAAUAUAAUAUAUACAUGAUGUAUCGUGGAAUGCUUCCUGGUUCCAGCACACAUGUUGAUUCCAAAAUAUUGAGCUAUUUUAACAAUAAUUCUACAACACAUUUGGGACCCUACUCUGGGUUCCUCCAAACACCUGUAUUUUAGUUAUCCAGGGUACAGUAUCUGCAUACAGGCCUAAUCACUAAGUAUAAAGCACUACAGUCAAUAGCUUGUCCAACUCCAGGUUUUUAUUGGCACUUAUUGCCACUGUCCAAUUAGGCCCUUGGGUCGACAGAACCGUAGUCUUGUGGAGAUUAAGUAGCUUGGCCAGCACUCAAGUGAGAUUUGUUUUUGGGUUGCUGAGAUUAGUCCUGUAGAAAAUGUGUAA